rnacentral:rRNA from 1 species
AGAGUUUGAUCCUGGCUCAGGAUGAACGCUAGCGGCAGGCCUAAUACAUGCAAGUCGAACGGUAACAUGAGAGCUUGCUCUUGAUGACGAGUGGCGCACGGGUGCGUAACGCGUAUGCAACCUACCCUUUACAGGGGGAUAGCCCGGAGAAAUUCAGAUUAAUACCCCAUAGUACUAUAAUGUAGCAUUAUAUAAUAGUUAAAGAUUUAUUGGUAAAGGAUGGGCAUGCGUGACAUUAGUUAGUUGGUAAGGUAACGGCUUACCAAGACUAUGAUGUCUAGGGGUUCUGAGAGGAAGAUCCCCCACACUGGUACUGAGACACGGACCAGACUCCUACGGGAGGCAGCAGUAGGGAAUAUUGGUCAAUGGACGAGAGUCUGAACCAGCCAUGCCGCGUGCAGGAAGACGGCCUUCUGGGUUGUAAACUGCUUUUAUAUAGGAACAAAUAGACCAUGCGUGGUAAGUUGAGUGUACUAUAUGAAUAAGCACCGCUAACU